rnacentral:lncRNA from 1 species
GGAAUUAAAUUCUGAACUUUUCAUCAGCCAUUGAAAAGGUCUAUAAAUCAAAAGCCCUUGCAAGUUCAAAACACCCACAAACAAAUAUGAGAGUUAUAAGUAACGAAAAGAGAGUUUCUAGCAUUCUGCAUUAGAGUCAUUGUGAGGAGUGACCCUAAAUAGUUGGUUCGUACGAGUAUCAGAAAUUGUGUUAAUUUUAUGUAAACGAGAUCGUUGACUUUCUUGGGCGACAGACGCCUAAUCAGCCGUUAAGCACCAGUGACGGGGUGAAUUCGGUCUUUUAAGGGACAGGGUGAACGCUGGACAAUCGAUCAGGCUUUGUUAUUUUUCUGUUUAUGUUUAUUAAAGUGUCGGCCAUUGUAAUUUUAUUUUCCACUUAAAAUUCAGCACUUACUGCAUUUAUUUUUUUAAAACAAUCUUAAGAUAGAAUGUCUGAUUGCAGAUGGUUGUUUACUAAACAAACAGUUUAUGAAUAUUGGUGCAAAAUAAAUGAAUUAUUUAUUAUGAUUUUGAAUACCAGAUUAGCUAAUUUCGUGUUUAAGUGCAGUAUGACAAUGUGAGAAACGAUUGCAAUCUGGGAUUGCUGAAAUGACCCAAAAUGAGCAGAAUCAUGAACGUUGGCGGAAACCCUUGCUGUUGGGCCCGGGGCCAAUGAUGGAGGGGCCAUACAGCUGCUUUGAUGGCACCAGUUCCACGAAAUAAUACGGUGACCAUGUGGCGAGAAGCCCAGCAAACGGUUCAAUGAAUCAGAUUUCAAAAGAUGGCAGGCAAAAGAUGUUGUUCUAUCUGACGGACGUGAGUCUUUGCUCGGUUUCUCAAAGAGGAUGCUCCUAUCGUGAACGAGGGCGAAAACCCAUCCGAGUUGGUUACGCGAGAGAUGUUGGGGACGUGGCUGAUUUCCUUUUGAAGGAAUUAUGUACUAAAUGGCUUGGGCGCAAUACACUCACAAUGUGUAUGUGCCAAGGACACUGCCAACGAGCUGGUUUGUGGGAGUCUUUGAAGAAGAAGUACAAAACUGAAGAGCUGGGGUUCACGAAAUUUGCGGGGGGCAGAUUUUCUAGAAUACAUGAGGUAGACGCCAAAACGGUGAUGGAGCCCAAGCUCCAAGAAUUCCAGGGUUGAUGCGGCAUGAAAUUCAUGCCGAAGGGUAUGCAAUCCUCAGCGGAAACUUUCAGAGUUAACUGAAAUGAUUGAAAAACUGCCACCUUCAUGGAAUGGCUUUCCAGAAGACUGUAUAUCUAUAAGCAACCAGCGAAAAGGAGAUAACCUAGAAGGACUGAAUUGUGCGGCUCAGAAUGAGGGAGGGACCAUUAGGUUUUCCAGAGAAGAAAAGAAGAAAAAAAUAUGAAACCAAGGCCUGGCAAUACAAUCGAAAAGACAAAAUAUUGUGGAGCAGGGUCAAAGCUUCCAAGGGUCAAAGCUACAAGACCCAAAAUGAAGGAAAUUCCAGAAUCUUGGGGUGAAGAAUAAAGGCAAAUCAAAUUCACUGGGAAGUGCUAUUCUAUGACCAGAUGGACAUAAAGCCAAAGACUGUCGACAGUCGAAGAGCAUCAAGGAAGUGGCUCACAAAAAGCCAAAGAAUUUGCUCCAAGCCAACCCUGACUGUGGAGAAUAUAUCCAAUGGAGUUAGAUAUAUGAACAUGUGUGCGUGUUCUGACUGAGGUGAACAGUGAUCGGCUCGAACACCAAGAGUGGCGUGGCUGUGGAACACAGGGGAUUACUCGCAUGUGUGCUCAAAUAAAAGUGUUCAAAACUUAUCAGGUUGUCCACAAUGGUGAUAAAUUUUCAUGGGAAAAAAACUCGCCACUUCCCAAGGUUGAAGGGAAAGGGAAAGUCGAUGUGGAAAAUGACCUCUGGGAAAGGAAACUAACCUGAAUAAUGACUCCAUGUGCCGGAGAUCCGUAAGAAAUCUUUGUGUCCGGAUAUUGCUGUUAGCAGCAUGGUUUUAAGCAUUUUUGUGUAAGAUUAAGUUUAUUAUGACUAAGGAGGUAGGGUUAGGUGGGAAAGGGGUACUUAGCUGACGGAUUAUUCAAAAUGACUGUACUCAAUGUAGUCACAAAAUGAUAUCAAUAAGAAUACUGGAAAUCUUCUGGUUUGGCUUACUUGAUGGAGUCUUCUUACAUUUGGCAUGGUAGAUUGGGACAUGGUAAUUUUGAUUCAUUCGUAGAAUUAGUUAACAUUGGAUUAUUUACUAAAAUCUUAAUAUUAAAAAUACUCACAAAGGUGAAAGAUGGGUGGAUGACAAAUUAAACAAAGCCCUUUUCAAUAUCGCUGGAAAGAAGUACUGACCUCUUGAUUUAAUCAAGUGAUAUUUGUGAUUUGAAAUUUGUUCAAACACGAGGAGGUAAAAAAAUGUUAUCAUUUAUAGAUGACAGUACAAGUAUUGUCAUCUGUACUUGCUAUGCCGUCAGGAUGAGGCGAGUUACACAAGUUUUAUGCGUAUAAAACUGAAGUUGAAAAUCAACUUGGAAAAAAGAAAAAGUGUCUAAGAAAGUGAUAGUGCUAGGGGUGCCGUAAUUGAAUCACCUUUUGGUGAGUUGAGUUGGGUCUGAACAUGGAAUAAUUCACCGCAAAUACUGCACCAUAGUGCACCACAAACAAAAUGGUGUUGCAGAAAGACAAAAUAGAACUUUUACAAGAAAGAAAUGUAUGACAUGCCUAUGUGGAUAAGUAGGGGUUAACCCAGCAUUGGUAGGGGGGAGCAGGGAAGCAUGAUUUCGCAAAGAUACAUACUAAUAAGUCCCUCACAAGGAAAACCAAUAAAUUACCAUAUGAUUGUGAAAGGUUUCAUAGGUGACCUUCCUACCCCCUUUGAAAAUAUAGUGUGGGGGGUUGUUGGGGUUGUUUGGCUAGUGCCCCCCCCCCCCCUAAGGGUUGCAAUUCAGGCCCUAAAAGGUGUAAAAAAUAGGCUCGAAAAAAUAGUGAGUGUGUAUUAAUAGGAUGAGGACCAAAACAAUAGCUAGUUGGGUUAUGAUUCCUAGUGCAUAAAAGUUGAAAAUCAUGAUAUCUGAAUGUCAAUACGCGGUUGCUGGAAUCUAGGAAGCUUAUUUUUUUGAGGACGUUUCCCCUAUAACUCUACACAAGAUUUGAAUACUUGCAGAGGAAGUAUGAAUUGCUUAGGCAGUAGUGACCAAGAUCAACAAUCCAAGAAUUUGAUCAAGAAGGGAGGCUUGAACCUAGACGUAGCCAAACGAGUCGAAAACGUCUAAAUCGUUUUGGACCAGAUGUGUCGAACUUAGUGUUAGAAAUGAACCCAAAACUUUUGGGGGGAACUAUGUCCCUAUCCGGAAGCUCCUUUAUGGAUAGGAAUCAUAUAGUAGGAUUGCAUCAUCUUGCAAAAUAAUCAUCAGGGAAUUUAGGUGAAUCGUCCACAGGUUGUAAACAACUUGGAUAUAAGUGUGAUUUUAAAAGAACCGAUGAACUAAAAGGUUCAAUUGAUAAAUCCAAGGCAAUGACGGUAGUAAAGGAUAUAGGCAAAUCGCAAGGAAUUAGGAAUUGAUUAAUUCGCUGCUACUAUUCUUCAUGUCACGAGAAUAACAUCCAUUAGAAUAAUAUUGCUAUGGAUAGACAGGCUUUCUAUAAUCGAGAGAUACAUUAAAUGGAUGUUAGGACCGCAUUUCUAUGGUGACUUAGAUGAAGCACUCUAUAUGGAACAAUUUGAAGGGUUUGUGGUUUCCAAGACAUACAAGAGAACCUACAGUGGGUAUUUGUAAACUGUUAAAUCUUAUACGGAUUAAAGCAAGCACAAAAACAAUGACAUGAGAAAUUUGACAAACAAUGGGACUGUUGUCAAAUUCAUUCAAAAUAAUGCAUGUGACAAAUGUGUCUAUGUGACGGAUAUGAUAAGGAUUAUGUCAUUGUUCUUUAUGUGGAGACAUGCUCAUCGGUUGGACGUUAAUAAUGUAAUGGGAUUAAAACUACCAAGAACAUGUUAAUUAAACUAUAGUGUUGACGAAGGAUAUGGGUUUAUCGCAGAUGUGAUUUUCAGUAUAAAUCAAUAGGAAAUUGAUGGAUUACCUUGUCACAAUCAACUAUGUUGAAAAAUUCUUGAAAAGUUCAGCGUUCAGCCAAGAAUUCAUAAAUAGUGUGGGACAAAAGAACCACAUAUUGAUCCAAACCAUCAUUUGGGAAAGAAUAUAGGUGACGGUAUAGCGCAAUUAAGUAUUCCCAAUUCAGUGGAGUUGAUGUAUCAUUAUGAAUGCACAAGGAAAGAUGGAGCUUAUGCGGGUGGUAAGUAAGCCUGAGUAGGUAUACUCAAACCCAAGUGGUGAUACAUUGGCCAAGCAAUCAAUUCGGGUUUAACGAUAUUGAAGAAUAACCUCACAAAAAUACGGUCUACACACACGAGAUAUCCAGCUUAGUAAUAGAAGGGUUCCAGUGUGCAAAUUGAUAUCCGAUAGUUAAAGACUCCUAAAUCCACGAGUGGAUAGUCUUUCCAGUUGGUGGGAUGCGCUGCUGUGUCUGAAACUCAGUCCAAGCAAACAUGUUAUAACAAGAUCCACGAUGGAAUCAGAUUUAGCUUUAGAUAAAGCUGGAGAAGACGGGCUGAAUGGCUUCGCCAUUUCUUAGAGGAUAUUCAUGUGUAGCCUAAGCCAGAGUUUCAGCAAUAUGCAUACAAUUGCGAUAGUAAAUCAACAAUUGGGAAAAAAAAGAGCAGAAAUAAACAUGUACAAUGGUAAGUUCUAAGGGACACCUACGUCGAAGAAACAAUACGUUAAAACACUUGCUUUCCUAUGGAAUAUAUAGAUUGAGUAUAAUAAAGUCCAAAACCGCCAAAAACCCUACUAGCCGGAUCCGUGACUAAAGGGAGCUGACUAUAGGAAGCAAGUUUAUCGAUUAUCGAGGAGAGAAUGGGAUUAAAGCCUUUAAUUAAAAUUGUCAAUAAAUGGGCAACACCAACUUAUGUGACAGGGAAUCCCAAGAUAUAGGUUCAAGGACAACAACCAAGUGUUUGUGACUAGUAGAGAAUCACUGUGGAAAGUUUUUUCCUACCCAUUUCUAUGAUAAAUCAAGUGAUAGUGAUACCUUGCUUCCGGUUGAGCUAAGUUUAUAUUUUAAUGUUAUCAUAUCUUGGGAAUAAUUCCGAGUAAGAUAGUGCAGGAAGGAUAUCCUUUGGUGAGAAAUCCACCAUAUGAGUGUGCCGGGGCGCUUCUAUGAGUAAAGAUAAAUGAUUCUCUAAAGCACUCAUGAAAUUAAAAUGGGAGAUUGCCAAACGGGGCCAAAAUGGGGCACACCCAUGAGAACCGUUUUGUGGUUUGGGAAUACCUCCUGUGAUAAUUAUUGUUGGUGCUUACACCAAUUAGCCUUGAACAGUUAAGGGCAAUAAUGUUCCAUUGGGGGCAAUUAGCUCGUAAUGUCGAUUAGUUUUUCACAAGGUUAGGUAAAGACCAAAAGCUGACCUAAACCUCUAUACAGGGAAUUCUUUUCUUACGUUCUCUUAUUAGGAAUCAUGUGUUUGGUGCAUUAUUAAAACAGAACAAAUUUUCAUUCAUGUGGGGGGAUGUUGUGAAAAAAGUCACGGUGAGCUGAGUUUGACCUAAUUUUAUGGGUUGGGUUCGGCGGUUAUCGAAAUUAUUGAAUCCUGUGUGGAGGAUUCUCCUUCGUUGUAGUAGAUAAACGUAGUAUAUUUCUGUUGCUACAAAAAAGAUAAAAGGGUGAUUUGAGACAAUAUAUUCAUCACAUUAGUGGGGACAAUUGAUGAAAAAGGGGGAAGUCCCAACAUCGGAUAAAAGGAAAUUUAAAGGGUUAAUAUACUCCCAGAGUAACAUGUUAAACAAAAUCGAGUACUUGGAGCACCAGAGAGGGAGUUAUGUACCAGUGAUGGUACAUUCUGUACUGGCUUUCAUUGUGCGGCGCGCGGCUGCGCCGUAGCCGCGAGUCGCGUGGCGCUAGGUUUGAGCGUGGGGCGAUGGCGCAAUGGGCGCUAUGAGAGGAGCAGUGGGCACCCUUAGCACGUGGGUGCGAUGGGGGUGUAGGAGAGUAAUUGGUUCUUACUUUUAAUCUUGUAGUUUUUUAAUUACAGAAAAACUCCUUGGUAAUUUAAUAAAAAUUAAACACCAUUGUAAUUUAAUUACAGAUUAACCUCCCAUUUUAUUUCUAUUAGACUGCAAGCUCAAGACCUUUCAUCUUGAUUAACCGCAGCCAUUCUCGCCAUUAAGGGACGAUUGAUUUGGCUGGUUUAGUGGGCUGUGUGUACAAUGCUUCAUAGGGAAAAUUCGUGAUUUUCAUCAGCCAUUGAAAAAUCCUAUAAAUACCAUAAAUACAUUGAAAGUUCAAAAAACACUGUUUUAAAAAAAAUCUGAGCGUCAUCAGUCAGGGAAAAAAGAGAGUUUCUAGCAUUCUGCAUUAGAGUCAUUUUGUUGAGAGGAGAGAGGAGUGACACUAUUUUGGUUCGCCGAGUAUACAAAAAAUUGUGCUAUAUUCUGUAGCGAGAUCGUUGCAUCCUGGAGACAGACGCCUUAACAGCCGUACGCACAGUGGGGGCGAGAUUCUGUGUCUUAAGGAGACAGUGUUGCACGCUUGCCUCGAUCAAACUUUUGAUAUUUUUUCUGUUGUUGAAUUUGUAUUACAGUUUUUGUCCAUCUGGAAUUUUUUCAAAUUAAAAUUCAGCACUUACUGAAUUUAUAUUUUUUUAACACACUGGGCCUCCCAGUUGUUGGGCCGCGAAUCUCUGAUUUACAUGUCAUGUCAAUUCCACGUGAGGCUGGGCAAUGGCACGGCUAAGGUGUCCGAUAAAUACACCUUGUGCUCCCAAGAAUUGUUUGAGUAGUUAGGCACAAAGACAAUCAAGUUGAUCAUGCUAGAUAAUCAAAUAAUCAUGUAUACUAUUUGUAUUACAACUUAGUUUUGUCUUCUCAAAUGUAUACAUUAAUUUCUUAUUAUUUUCUCCAAUAGACUUGAACAGAUCACGUGGCUAUCAAGUGUAAAUCAGUACAAUUUUUUAUUGGUUGAUUUAAUGUCUGUUUAAAUAUUUUUACGAUUCGAUAUCGGAGAUGACUUGAAUCAAAAAAAAUAUUUUUUUUUUAAAAAACAAAAUUAGUCACUACAAUCAGAUGGUGGCCAGUGCUGUAUAGCACUUGAAUAUAUAUAUAUAUAUAUAUAUAUAUAGCGAAUGCAAACAAUCGCAUGGGGCAAAUUCUAGCAGUAUCUAUUCUGCAAAAAACUCUUCCCUCUACAAUUCAGGCAAAGAAAUUGGAUUUUCCGUCCUCCCUCCCUCCUCGGUAACUCUCUCCCUCUCUCUACUCCUUUAAGCCUUUUCUACCGCUGUAAUCUACUCCUUUAAUCCGUUGUUUGGCUAGGGUUUGACGUAUUCUUCAAGACCAAGACGAUAACGCCAGCGAGAUCGUAUUCCGAAUGACAUUUACCGUGGACGAGCGUCGACAAUACCUCCGUUAGGUUUCGAUCCUUGUUCUUGUAUAUUGAGGGGUGUCGUUAUUUAUUAGGGUUUGCCUUUUUAUCUAGAGAGGGAGAAAUAAGUGUUCGGUGCAAUCAGUUUAGGCG